rnacentral:rRNA from 1 species
UACGAAGGGGGCAAGCGUUGUUCGGAAUUACUGGGCGUAAAGGGCGCGUAGGCGGCCGAUCAAGUCAGGCGUGAAAUUCCCGGGCUCAACCUGGGGGCUGCGCUUGAUACUGAUUGGCUUGAAUGCGGGAGAGGAUAGUGGAAUUCCCAGUGUAGAGGUGAAAUUUGUAGAUAUUGGGAAGAACACCGGUGGCGAAGGCGGCUAUCUGGCCCGUAAUUGACGCUGAGGCGCGAAAGCGUGGGGAGCAAACAGG